ensembl:lncRNA
UUUUUAUUUUUUUUUAAUUUUUUGGUUUAGAAAACUGUAAGGGCCUGGUUUCCUCCAUAUUCCCCUGGUCACACUUCCUACACUUGGAGGAGGGGGACUGCUCUACCUUCUGCCCCCCCUCUUGGCCCCCUGGCCAAUCUGGGAACAUCCUCAAGUGCAUGUUUACAUGCAGAGGGUCAGGCAGGGCUGUCCCAUUUUGCAAUAGGCUGGGGUACACUCUGUUUAUCAAUCACUGAGUUAUCAGUGGAGUUACGACGGAGUUCCUACUUUAACCAAAGAAGAGAGGCAUUCAUGUCAGAUAUUUAAGAUCAAUACUUCCUGCAUUUGAUAAAUUGUUUUUUUUCUCCAGAAGUAAGUGCUCAAGUACAUCUAAAGCACAGGCUAUGUGUGCGUCUGUGUGCGUAUAGCAUAUGCUUAUGUACAUACACACACACACCCCCGACAGACAAUGCAAACUUCACUCUAAAUAUAAAAUUCACUUGGAGGGUCAGGACAGACAUUAGGCCCUGGAGAUUUGGGCUCUGACAUAUAGCUGCAGCUUUGUGAAUGGUUACAAGUUUCUUAAACCGGCAAACUCAAAACACCGAGGUUGAGAUAUUUCUUUUGGCUAAGCUUUAGUCUGGACUCCAGUACAUAUAUUCAUGUUCUUACUGUCGCUCUCAGGGGCCUGAGGAUUUUCAUAAUGACAUGAGGGUCAGAAUAAGCACCUGAGGAAAGAAGCGUAAUUUUUCAGAUCUGCCUGGAGUUGCUCGGAAAGUUGUACAAAACACCAUCAGCAGGUGCUUUUCAUCUUCAAAGUGCCUGUCAUUAAUUACUCCUUGCAACACACCUGUGAAGCAAGGCUUUCCUCCCCGUUGUCCAGAAAGCGAGAAAAAUCUGGAAGGCGGAGGAGCCAGUCUGUGACUUUGGGUAGGCUCAGCGCCACAGCGGCUUUCGUGGUUGAGGUCUAUGCACUUGUGCUGAAUUGCGGACCCCGUGUUAGGUACCCAUCCGUCCAGACAGCUGGAAAGCAGCACAAGGAGACAACAUGAGACCUACAUUUCUUGCAGGGCCCUCCUCUUGCACUCUGCACCGGGAGGAAGUGGCCUCUCUGCACACUCGGUGAAAUCCUCUGUCACUCCUUGGACGGCUCUUCCCAUCUGUUUCAAAAGAUGUCAAAGGUUCAAUCAGAAAUCUAUCCACCCAAGAGGAGAAAACACAAGUCUACUCUGAACACCUUGGUGAACAGAUUUAGUUCAGUCAGGUCUGGAUGAAACUGUGCAGUAUUAGCUUAUUGUCAUUUAUCUUUCUAGAACUUUAGGGUGAAUUGUCCCUUCUCUAGGACUCCCAGCACAUGUUUCAUACGUGAACUUGUGCCACCCAUGUGUGAGACGGUGAUGGAAAGGAUGGUGAUUCCAAGUCAUCUCAGCCAGUACCUGAUCGCCUUAUGGCCCUGACUUUGAUGAAGCCCAGGUCCAGGUGCCAGGCAGCCACGUGUCUGGGGGGCCUGGCCUUCCAGAGGGACCCCGUGGCACAGUGCUCUGCACCCCAAUCAGCCUUAGAAUUUUCUGCAUUUUCUCUCUUUACAAAAAUAAAGAAUAUGGCCUUUGUGAGACUCAAGAUAGCAUCAAGAAUUAAGUCUUUCACAACUGGUAUUUUGAAAACUGAAGUUUGUAAUUCCUGGUUGCUAUAAACUGGGAGUUUUUUUCUUAAACCAACAAUACUAACCUGGUUUUAGAUUACUCUUAGGGCAUCUGUCUAUCCAUCCUUAUAUGUGCCCAGGGAAGCUUCAUAACGAAGUAAUUAUAAAACUUAAAACCUUCCCAGCUAUCACCAGUACUGACCCAUUUCUUACUUUUGCAAUUGUUUCCUUUUUGUUAGUACUGAGAUAAUUCAGACAAGGUGUUAAGUGCAUUUUCUGGUACAUUUCUAAGUAGUCUCCAUCAGAUUCCAUAGUAAAAUGUUGCUGCCACCAGGAACAGUGUUGGUAAGACAAAGUCCUUGCUUUAGACUUAGACUGGAAUAGAGGAUGACCGCCCCAGAGAGCCUGGCACACGGCAGCCAUCAGUAUGAUGCCCGGGUGUCCCACAGAGGGAUGCUGUGAGCUUUGUCCAAUCACUGCCCUGCGCCACUGAGUACCAGCCUUUAGCUCUCACUAACUGUGCCCAUGGUUUCUGACCUGGACCAAUAUCACCCAGAGUCAUAUCCAGUUACAACCUAUGUUAGUUUGAAGAGUUAGUGAACAGAAUACAAUGUUUUACUGGAUUAUACUGCAUGUGGAUACUUUUUACUUAAGACUUACUUUUUCUUUUCCCCUGAGACUUACUAGUUGAUCAAAAAGAGCUAGUUUAAAAGUUAAAUGACAGACAGAGAGAGGUUGAGAUUUAUGUGUGAAACACUUCUAAACAUGCCCUGUAAGUAUAGUAGAUUUUCCCCUUACAACCACACCCUGUAAGUGCUGUAUUUUCAGAGCUGAACAAUUAACAUAAGGAGCAUGAGUCAGGCUUUGAACAACUCUGUGGGAACCAGAAAGCCUUUUGCUAUUAGGAAUGAUGUAAAUUCCCCAAGGCUGGAAGAAGUCCACAAUGGAGGGAGACAGGGUCAUAAAUAACAACAAUGGAUACUGCACAGACCACAUAACGUAUGAGGCCGUGAUAGCGAUACUCUUCAAAUCUCAUAUUUGACUCGACCACUGCCUUGCUUUCUAUAUUUUUCAAACUAACUUUAAAGCGCACUCUGUAUUUCCUCUAAGAACUUCAAAAACACCUCUGAAAAAAACAAAAACAAAACAAAAAACAGGACAAUCCACUCUUAUCCCAAAUUCCUCUGACAACAAACAAUGGGAAAAAAGGUUUUUUGGAAAACAAAACAAAACGAGUGUCAGAAUGACAGAAGGAAACAUCCAGUUCAAAUAGUGCAAAACCUGUGACUUUUUUUUUUUAAAGGGAGAGAGGGAGAGAAAGAAAGAAAAGCGAGGCAGGGUCUCCUACUUACAAAUUAAAACCACAUUUGGCAAUUUGUUGAAGGAGGCGUAUUUACAUUUGUAUGAAGACUGGGUGGGCAUGGGGGUGGGGGGGGAGAUUAGACUCCUUCAGCCCUUGAACUGUCAGAUCUCAUUAGAAAUCUCUCCUUCUUACAUUUCUAGGGUCAAUUUGCUCCCUUCUGUCACUAGACCGCAGCCUGGGGGGUGGGGGUGGGGUGGGGCAUAAGUAUUCCAGAGGAAGCAGCUAUCACCUGGGAAUUGGAUUUCCCAAGGGACUUGUCCUGAUUACUAAUGGCUUCUCACAUGUGGCAUCAAAAUGCAACUGUGGCUUAUCCAGAAGCGAACCUCUGAAGGCUGAGAAGGUGGCAAAUGCCUGAGGGUGGAGGAGGGGGGCUUACCCUGAUGAUGCUGCUGCUUUCCAGAUUCUGCCGUGACUAAUGACCCUGACAUCUUCUGCCAAGAAUACAGACAAACCCAGCAGAUCCCAAAAGGCUCCCGGCAGGCCCUCCACAGUCCAGGAGAGCACCCAUGGGGCCUCGGUGUUUCAGAAACAGGUUAACCUGGAAGGUUGCUUUGGGCCACCAUCAAUCACCAGUGAUUCCUCACAACCUGGAAGCUAGCUCUGAGUCUAGCUAAGGAAUAAAACCCUGCAACUAUCAUUCCGUGGUCACCUCUCACCCCAUUUAUUUAUUUAGCUUAGGUAAUACUUUGAGGAUUUUCUAUUUUAAAAGCUUCCACCUGUAAAGUUGUCUAUGUGCACAGUUCCAGGGGAAAGCCAGACAAAAGGGGGGCAAGGACAAUGGCUCCAAAAGUCUCAUCAGUGGAUUGAGCGGCCCGGCAGGUGCCCAGAGCAGGGGGUCAGGUCUGCCUUCAUCCCUAGGGAGGCUCUGGAGACCAAUGGAUGCUUCCUAAGUUGAGGACAGCCAAAGCCCAUGCGCCCCAGUACUGGGCCAGUUAUUAGGGAAACCGCCCCCCUUGGCCAGGUACCAUGAACCGGGAGAAUUGGAGAGGGGCCGAACAGGAGAAGACCAACCACCCGGAGUCCCUGGUACUGGUGUCCAUCUCAGCUGAGAGCCACAUGUGCCACCAGGAAGGAACCUUGAGUCUGACUAAAUAUGGGGCAAGCAAGACGAAUGGCCAGAGACAACCCGGAAACUGACCCCACUCCCAUAAAAAAGGAGACCUCGAGCCACAUGGCAGAGCAGUUCUUCCUGGUUCCCUUACCCUGCUGCUCCUCCCAGAUUCCCCUUCCCAAUAAAGUCUUUUGCUCUGUCAGCACAUGCGUCUCCCUGGACAAUUCAUUCCCAAGUGUUAGACAAAAGCCCACUCUCCGGCCCUGGAAGGCGUCCCACUUCCUGCAACAUCCUGAGGAGGCUGGGCAGGUGAGUGUUUGAGUGUGAUGAUGGGGGAGGGGGGAUCACCCCCAAUUCUGUGGUCUGACCUGGGGAACAUAUUUUAAAUUCCUAGACAGAAAAGACUACAAAGAGAGUACCCACCACAUUGAGCUGGACUGAAAUGUAGUUAGACAUGGGAGUUCCCAUUGUGCUCAGCAGGAACUCCACAUCUUUCUCAUUUCUAGCGGGAGGGAGCUGGGUAUUAAGAUGUUUAGCAAGCUGCUAACCUGGUGUUAAUGACACUUAAACCGACUCCUCUUCAGGGAAGAAUAGGAGUGAUAAUGGUGAUAAUUAAUAUUGCAUCAGUGCUUUACAAUUUACAAGUCAUUUUUAUAUUCAUCCUCUCACUUGAUCCUUAGGAAGGCUUACAGGGCAAGCAUCACAUUUACUUCUGCUUAACAGGUCUGGGGACUGAUGUUCCGAGAAGCCAAAUGACUUGUCUAAGGUCAUCAAGGGAGUGAGGGGAGAGGCGAUGGCCACAGUUAGGUCUUCUCAUUUCUUUUUUUUGUCUUUUUGGGGCUGCACCUAUGUCAUAUGUAGGUUCCCAGGCUAGGGGUCGAAUCAGAGCUAUAGCUAUUAGCCUACGCCACAGCCUACGCCACAGCCACAGUAGAUCUGAGCCGUGUCUGCCACCUACACCACAGCUCACGGCAAUGCCGGAUCCUUAAUCCACUAAGCGAGGCCAGAGAUCGAACCCAUGUCCUCAUGGAUACCAGUCGGGUUAGUUAACCACUGAGCCACGACGGGAAUUCCAGGUCUUUUAAUUUCAUGUUCGAUCUCUUCUUCACUUGUUCCAUUCCCCACUGUGUUUUUCCUAAUUCAAUCUAUCACCAAAGUCAUCAUCAAAGGGAGAUUACAGGUCUCUCAUAAGGAAAGGGACAUUGUGGGGGAAAGGCACAAAGGAUUAGAGGGCCCGGGUACAUCCUCUUCUAACGUACCCUAUAUCUAAUUGCUCUAAAUAGAUAUGGUCUAUCUUACCUAUCCUACUUGUUCUGGGAGUUCCCUUGUGGCUCAAUGGGUUUAACUUUCAGUGUUGUCACUGCUGUGGCUCUGAUUAUAGCUGUGGUGUAGGUUUGAUCCCUAACCUGGGAAUUUCCACAUGUUGAGAGCACUGCUAAAAAAAAAAAAAAAAAA